GACGAACGCUGGCGGCGUGCUUAACACAUGCAAGUCGAACGAAGUGGCGAACGGGUGAGUAAUACUUGGGUAACCUGCCCUCCUUUUUGGGAUAAGCCUUGGAAACGGGGUCUAAUACCGUAUAAAGGGGGAUGGGCUCGCGGCCUAUCAGCUUGUUGGUGGGGUGAUGGUCUACCAAGGCGGUGACGGGUAGCCGGCCUGAGAGGGUGACGGGCAAACUAGCGAGUGGGGUACGGCACAGACGCCUGCGGGAGGCAGCAGUGGGGGAUAUUGCACAAUGGGCGAAAGCCUGAUGCAGCGACGCAGGGUGGGGGUUGAAGGCUUUCGGGUUGUAAACCUCUUACGAUAUGGGAGGGGUAGGUGGAGAAGAAGCGCCGACUAACUACGUGCCAGCCGCCGCGGUAAUUC
rnacentral:rRNA from 1 species